rnacentral:misc_RNA from 1 species
AAAGAUGAGAAAAAGAAGAAAGAUAAGAAGGACAAAGAUAAUAAACACUCAGAGGAAGAAGAAAAAGAGACAAGGGAAGUCAAGGAUAAAAGUUUGAGUAUUAAGGUAGAGGGCGAUAAGAAGCUUGUAGAGGAGAGUAAGGAGAAGGAUGAGGAGAAGAAGAAGGAUGAAAAAGAAAAAGGGAAAGAAAAGAAGGUCAAAGAUGAAGAGAAGAAGGUAGGUGAAGGAUCUGUGGAAGAAACAGAAAAAAAGGACAAGGCAAAAGAAGAAGACAAGGGAGAAGAGAAGAAGAACAAGAAACAGAAGAAGAAUAAAGAGAAGAAACACAAGGAUGGAACAGAGGAGGAAGAAGAAGAAGAGAAAGGUGAAGAGAAAGAAGAGAAGAAGAAGAAAAAAGAGAAUAAGGAUGUAGAAAAAAAAGAUAAGAAGCAUGAGGAUGGAGAAGCUGAGGAUGUAAUAGAUGAAGGUGGAGAGAAGAUGAAGAAGAAAAAGAAAGAAAAGAAACACAAGGAAGAGAAAAAGGAUAAGGAACACAAGGAUGAAGUUAAUGAGUCAAAGAGCGAUUCCAAAGUUGUCUCAAGGGAGUUUGAAAUAGAAUCAGAAGGGAAAGGAGGGGAGGAGGAGAAAGAUGAGGUGAAGGAAGGUAAAGAGAAGAAGAAAGAUGAAGACAAGAAAGAUAAUGCUGAUAAAAAAAGAAAAAAGGGUGAGAAGGAUAAAAGCAAGGACCUCAGCAAUCUGAAAAAGAAGCUAGAUAAGAUUGAUGGAAAAAUUGAAGCUCUUCUUGAGGAAAAAGCUGACAUUUUGAGGCAGAUAAAA